AUUGAACGCUGGCGGCAGGCCUAACACAUGCAAGUCGAGCGGAGCGGCGGACGGGUGAGUAAUGCCUAGGAAUCUGCCUGGUAGUUGUGGAUAACGUCCGGAAACGGGCGUUAAUACCUCAUACUAACAGAUGAGCCUAGGUCUGAUUAGCUAGUUGGUGGGGUAAAGGCAUACCAAGGCGACGAUCCGUAACUGGUCUGAGAGUAUGAUCAGUCACACUGGAACUGAGCCACGGUCCAGACUCCUACGGGAGGCAGCAGGGGGGAAUAUUGGCCAAGGGGCGAAAGCCUGAUCCAGCCAUGCCGCGUGUGUGAAGAAGGUCUUCGGAUUGUAAAGCACUUUAAGUUGGGAGGCGUUACUAACAGAAUAUGCACCGGCUAACUUCGUGCCAGCAGCCGCGGUAAUUC
rnacentral:rRNA from 1 species